UACGUAGGCAGCAAGCGUUGUUCGGAUUUACUGGGCGUAAAGGGUGCGUAGGCGGCUUUUUAAGUUUGGUGUGAAAUCUCCCGGCUCAACUGGGAGGGUGCGCCGAAUACUGAGAGGCUAGAGUGUGGGAGAGGAAAGUGGAAUUCCUGGUGUAGCGGUGAAAUGCGUAGAUAUCAGGGGGAACACCGGUGGUGUAAACGGCUUUCUGGACCAUAACUGACGCUGAGGCACGAAAGCGUGGGUAGCAAACAGG
rnacentral:rRNA from 1 species